rnacentral:rRNA from 1 species
AACGAACGCUGGCGGCAUGCCUAACACAUGCAAGUCGAACGAGACCUUCGGGUCUAGUGGCGCACGGGUGCGUAACGCGUGGGAACCUGCCCUUAGGUUCGGAAUAACUCCCCGAAAGGGGUGCUAAUACCGGAUAAUAUCUUCGGACCAAAGAUUUAUCGCCUUUGGAUGGGCCCGCGUUGGAUUAGCUAGUUGGUAGGGUAAAAGCCUACCAAGGCGACGAUCCAUAGCUGGUCUGAGAGGAUGAUCAGCCACACUGGGACUGAGACACGGCCCAGACUCCUACGGGAGGCAGCAGUGGGGAAUAUUGGACAAUGGGCGAAAGCCUGAUCCAGCAAUGCCGCGUGAGUGAUGAAGGCCUUAGGAUUGUAAAGCUCUUUUACCCGGGAUGAUAAUGACAGUACCGGGAGAAUAAGCUCCGGCUAACUCCGUG